rnacentral:lncRNA from 1 species
AACCCAUUUGGGAUUAUUUUGUUCCCUUGGUCAUUUCUCUGAGGAUUACUUCACUCUCUCCAUCUUCCCGUGUGGCUGGCAGCAUGGACUUUUCUAAAAACCCCUGUUUUGAAAGUUGCUCACAUCGCUGGAGUCUUCAUUGGGAGGUCACAGCAUGUGAUGGGGAAGGAAGGGGACAGGAACAAGCAAGCGUUGCUUUGGCAUGUCACCUCAUGAAUUUGCUGUCUUCAUCCAUUAACAAGGUGAUGAUGAGACUGAAGCCAGAGAGAUAAAGCACCCUGCUUGCUCAGAGCUGAGCAGACUACCUGGGGGUUCCGAUUCUGGCCCAUUGCUCUUUCCACCGGGUACAUCCGCCCACCUCCUUCUCACGACAGCCUUGAUGGAGCACAUAUUUGAUUCUCAUGGUCAGAUGGCAGAGCUGAAGCUGGAAGUGAUAAGUCUUAAGUCAAUUAGCUCCUAAAUGGGAGGACCAGAAUUCAAACUCAGUUCUCUCCAACUCUCAGGCCGACCACUCUUUUAAAUUCACAGCUCUGCUGCUUUCCUGGAAGGCUUGAAUCAUCAGUUGUGUUUAUCAUGCACUGUUGACAUUAGCACCUACUAGGGCUUUUAACUAAUGCCCUACUGCCAUAAACUGUGUUUUCUGUUUUAUUUUAAAUAUUGGUCCAGAACUCCCUUUGUGGUGAAACUUUUG